rnacentral:misc_RNA from 1 species
UUAACUAUUAUAUAGUACUCAGACAGUAUAGACAAACAGAGUUUAGGUCCUCUGGCAGACGCUCGCCGGCCGGAGCCAGCAGCCCGGAGGCAGGCCUGCCAAAGCAACAAAGGUGUAAUAAACAAAGGGUGGUAUAGAGGACCCCGGCCCGGAAAGGGCCGGGGGACUAUAACUUUAAUGAUCCUUCCGCAGGUUCACCUACGGAAA